CAUGCAAGUCGAGGGGAAACGACAUCGAAAGCUUGCUUUUGAUGGGCGUCGACCGGCGCACGGGUGAGUAACGCGUAUCCAACCUGCCCACCACUUGGGGAUAACCUUGCGAAAGUAAGACUAAUACCCAAUGACGUCUCUAGAAGACAUCUGAAGGAGAUUAAAGAUUUAUCGGUGAUGGAUGGGGAUGCGUCUGAUUAGCUUGUUGGCGGGGUAACGGCCCACCAAGGCGACGAUCAGUAGGGGUUCUGAGAGGAAGGUCCCCCACAUUGGAACUGAGACACGGUCCAAACUCCUACGGGAGGCAGCAGUGAGGAAUAUUGGUCAAUGGACGAGAGUCUGAACCAGCCAAGUAGCGUGCAGGAUGACGGCCCUAUGGGUUGUAAACUGCUUUUAUAAGGGAAUAAAGUGAGUCUCGUGAGACUUUUUGCAUGUACCUUAUGAAUAAGGACCGGCUAAUUCCGUGCCAGCAGCCGCGGUAAUACGGAAGGUCCGGGCGUUAUCCGGAUUUAUUGGGUUUAAAGGGAGCGUAGGCCGGAGAUUAAGCGUGUUGUGAAAUGUAGACGCUCAACGUCUGCACUACAGCGCGAACUGGUUUCCUUGAGUACGCACAAAGUGGGCGGAAUUCGUGGUGUAGCGGUGAAAUGCUUAGAUAUCACGAAGAACUCCGAUUGCGAAGGCAGCUCACUGGAGCGCAACUGACGCUGAAGCUCGAAAGUGCGGGUAUCGAACAGGAUUAGAUACCCUGGUAGUCCGCACGGUAAACGAUGGAUGCCCGCUGUUGGUCUGAAUAGGUCAGCGGCCAAGCGAAAGCAUUAAGCAUCCCACCUGGGGAGUACGCC
rnacentral:rRNA from 1 species